AAUCCACUGCAAAAUGGUGCUCAUCUCUUUACUUUUGUUCUGUACUCUUGCAUAUGUCAGCUUUGGGAAUGUCAUCACACCAGUCCAGCCUGAGGUGUUUGGGACAGAGGGGGACAAUAUAACUCUGUCCUGUAACUACUCUUCAGCAGUUAGUCUGCAGUGGUAUCGCCAAUAUCCAAACUCAGCUCCUGAAUUUCUUUUGAUAAUACUACAAGGGACAGGGAAAGUUUCACAGAAGUCUAAAAUUGUAGAACAAGAUCCUCGAUUCUCUGGAAAAGUAAAUGAAAAGAAAACCCAUGUGGAUCUGGAGAUCUCCUCUGCUAAAGUGACAGACUCUGCUCUGUACUACUGUGCCCUGGAGCGUUCAUUUACUAAUACAAUUGAACCAAGAGAAGGAGACACUAAUAUAAUCAGAGAAGAAGGAGAGUUUGUGACACUGAGCUGCACAUAUGAAACUAAAAGCAAUGAUAUUUAUCUUUACUGGACAUUGACAGGACAGGAGGAGGAGUUUAGCACAGACACUAUACAGCAUACAGCUGGGUAA